CAGUAUACAAAGACGUUCUAUCCAAUUGUGUGCCUCAAACUUUGUGUCAACAGUUUGGAGAAGAACCACAUAU